GGAAGUGGGAUGACGUCAAUCAUCAUGCCCUUACUGACCUGGGCUACACACGUGCUACAAUGGUUGGUACAACGAGUUGCGAGUCGGUGACGGCGAGCUAAUCUCUUAAACGCCAAAUCUCAGUUCGGAUUGUAGGCUGCAACUCGCCUACAUGAAGUCGGAAUCGCUAGUAAUCGCGGAUCAGCACGCCGCGGUGAAUACGUUCCCGGGCCUU
rnacentral:rRNA from 1 species